rnacentral:rRNA from 1 species
GAAUUUUAUAUACUAAGUAAAUGAAAUAAAAUUUAUCUUAUUAUAUUUUAUUGGGAGGAUAUUUAAAUUAAGAAAACUUUAAUUGUAAAGUUUACAUAGGUUAAUGAUUAAGAAUAAUGAAUAAGUAUGAUUUUUUUAAGAAUUAAUUACCUUAGGGAUAACAGCAUAAUAUUUUUUUGUAGUUCAUAUAUAAAGAAAUGAUUAU